rnacentral:rRNA from 1 species
GAUGAACGCUGGCGGCGUGCCUAAUACAUGCAAGUCGAGCGAACAGACGAGGAGCUUGCUCCUCUGACGUUAGCGGCGGACGGGUGAGUAACACGUGGAUAGCCUACCUAUAAGACUGGGAUAACUUCGGGAAACCGGAGCUAAUACCGGAUAAUAUAUUGAACCGCAUGGUUCAAUAGUGAAAGACGGUUUUGCUGUCACUUAUAGAUGGAUCCGCGCCGCAUUAGCUAGUUGGUAAGGUAACGGCUUACCAAGGCAACGAUGCGUAGCCGACCUGAGAGGGUGUCGCGCACCACGGAAAAGAACCCCGGGCCCAGCCCCCCAGGGGGGGCAGCAGAAGGGAAUUUUCCGCAAGGGGCGCAGCCCGGACGGAGCAACGCCGCGUGAGUAAUAAAGGUUUUCGGAUCGUAAAACUUUUUUAUGGGGAAAAAAAAGAGGUGAAAGUACUUGUCCACUCCUUGAGGGACCCUAACCAAAAGGCCAGGCCAACCCCGGUC